CACUGCAAGACAAUAAAGAAGCAGCCACUACAAGUUAGUAUAUACAACACCGCUCAAUGCCGUGUUGCCAAAGACAGGUCCACAGUAAUUUUAAAGCAUCUAUCUGUCUUUAGCAUAAUAGUCGUUUGCAUGUUGUUAACCUCAGUGCAGCACAAUACAACCAGUGAUCCGUCUCACUCAGCUUUUGUUUGUCGAACGCAUCACGCGGACUUUUGUUAGUUUGACCAAUUUGCAUAGGCGUGUCAAAUUCACUUAACGCCAAUUAACACUGGCAUAAGUAGGUAAUUUGUUUAAGGGCCGCAGCUAAUAACAGAUAAGUCAAGUUUACAAUGAUGGAAUAGUAGGAUUUGGCGCUGGAUCUACGCGUUAUUUUCAGAGAACGGACUGACAUAUACUAGAUGAGCCUGGUCAUUUGAUAUUUUGGGGGAGUGAUGACAUCUCCUAGACACUGUAUAGGACCACCCUAAGUACUAGGGAGUAAACAGGCGCAUGAGACUCACCGUAACGAUGAAAACGAUCAAUUCGUGCUAGAUCUGGAUUUGGUGGCUUUUGCGAAUGGGUUAAGACGCUGUUCUCUUCAUUGAACAAAACUUAUUGCCAAUCAACCAGGAGAUAUUGAGGUUAUACAGCAGAGGCUUGGGGAUGGAGGGAACUCUGAUGAACCUCGGAACCUUUUUCUACGCUUCUGUUUUGAUCUGUGAUCAUGGAGGUUAUCUUCCUACGGGCCGUUUUACAGACGAAUUCGAGUGUUAAAGCAAGUAGCGGAGGUAAGGGUUUGUUUACAGCCUUCUUACAAUUUGUUUAUUUUUGUUCGUUUUAAGCCUAGCUUGCUGAGACUAAGUUCAAACAUCGUAUUAUCCAUGAGCCAUAUUCAAAUCAAUCGAGUCGAUUGUUUCAUCUUCAUUUGCUCGCAUUUGCAUUGGAUACGGCUCAUGGAUAAUACGACGUUUGAACUUAGCCUGAAUGACUUAAAAUGUGGUAGCUUUGUAAGAUAAAGUUGCAAGAAUUUGCAACGUAUGCCAUAGCUACUUAGGUAGUAGCAACGCCCAUAAGGCUCAAAUACCACACUAUGAUAUAUUGUCACUGUUUUUAUUGGACGUCUUCAGGUCAAAACAGUAACUUUAAAUAAUACAAAUAUAUUUUCUUUACACAUUCAUUGGUUCCAUGAUUACAAGGACUUUUAAAAACCCUUGCAGCUCGUGCUGCGGUAUAAUUCAAUAUUCUAAAGCCUUAACUAUAUACCCUACAACGAAUGUCCUGCCCACGCCCUAUUGACGAAUUCCCCAUCCGCGCUAUCCGCAAAUGCCCGUAUAAACAAGUGGUGAAAAGCGCCUUUAAGUGUCCCUGAGAAACUAGGGCUUCUAGCAAGUAAAUUCUCUGUAUAACUGUCAGGCGAGUCACCUUGAGGGCUAUUUUAAAGGAGGUUCUAUUGUAACAAAGCACAAAGGGUAACAAAACGUUAACAAAACUUCUCAGUCUCAUUAAGUGUCGUCUUAAAGCUUUAGCAAAGUUUGGUCGGAGUAAUUACCCUUACUAAAACAAGACGUGAUCUCAGGCCACACACAGAAAAAACGAUCUCAAGAUUUACUGGAUCCGCUUAACUAUCAUUUGUACCUCACUUUAUCAUAGGCAACACCCGUCCAGCCCACUCAAAUUGAAGGGAUAAAAGGCAUGGGACUCUGACUACCCCUUGUUACAAAGAUUUCAACAAAAAACCCUAAUAACAGGGUCUCCUUAUCGAGUGUGGUCUACCUAAAGGAAUGUCAUCCUUCUGUAUCGAAAGGUGUCCCCCUUCCAGUCGGACUAUAGUAAAUCGAGCUAAAUACUCGGCUUCAGCAGGAUACGUGGCUCGUUCAGGCAGUUCAUCAACAUCAAACUGAUGACUCGUUCGUAUCUUCCGCCUUCUUCCCCUCGGCCUCGCCGCUCAUGAACCGCUCCAGUCGCCUCCUCCUCAGCUCUUGACUGGCCUCAUCCUCCGCACUGUCUGCAGCCUCUGGACUCGCGCCCACAGCCUCGGGGACCAGAGGGGAUGUAGUCUCUUUACUAUCAGCCGUCGAAGGUGCUGUAGUAGUGGUACUGGGCGUGGCUGGUGCGACGGGUUGGAUGGCGGGGGAGGUGAGGGAAGGCCAAUCAGAAGUACUUUUAGGAGCGUCUUUUGGCUUAGCAGGAGGUUUCUCUCCUUUGGUUUUUGCCGCACUGGAUUCAGUCGAAGAGUUUGUUUGUGUUGACGUGGAAGAGGAAGCUUGGCUGCAUGCAGAAAUGUACAUCACAUAAAUUACCUGAACAAAACUCAUAUACUUCAAAUAAAGUUGCACUUGGAGAAUCUGUGUAUCCAAACCCGCAGUGAUUCAUGGGUAACAAGUGAAUAAGCAAAUACGGGGAAAUAAAAUACAAUUUUAGGUUUCAAAACCUGUAGAAUUCUUGUUUUAAUUCUUAUGAAUAUUCACAUGGCUUCCAGAUACAAGGAUUCAUCCAUUUGUAUGCUACCCAAGAAACACCCCGGGUUAUGACACAUAGGUUCCCCAGUGCAACCUUAUUUGAAAUAGGUGUAUAUUUAUCUUAGUAUAUUUGAUUAAAUCUUUUAAUAUAAGUUUCAAUAGUAUUUAUUUGUUGUUAAAGAAACGGAAUGCCGAACUUUAGUAUCACUUUGGAAAAACCUUCCAAUAAAUAUACCUUUGUAAUUACCUAUCUAUAUAUAACAUGAUUGAUGACUCAGCUUGCCCCUAUUUGUCUGCAGUCAUAAUUGGCAUCAUUAAAAAGACAAAGGCUUGAACAAAGGUAUAUAGGAAGUGAGGAUGAGAGUUCGGGGUCAACUCGCAUGAAAAAAAAUCAGUGCCAUUGCGGGCUAGGAAGAGUCACACACAAAGGGGGAAAUUGACCACUUACACUGUAUUUAAUAAAAAGCACUCGGGCUGGAAAAUAUUGGCUACGGGCAUGAUAAUGUGCCUGGAAUGCUUAACAGCUAUCAUUGAGUGAAUCAUAAGACCCUCACCUCUGUGCGUUGACCAUCUGCGUGUACUGGUUCAGUUGGCCUAUAGCCACAUCAAGCAACAUGUGUACGUUCCUCAGCAUCGCAAUACGGGACUCAACCUGCUGCCUCUCUCUUCCCUCUACAGCUGCCAGCUCCUCCACUCCAAGUGACGAAAGGUCUUCGGUACUGGGAGGUGGUGGAGGGGGUGGCAUGAACGGCAAGCCUAUAAAGGGAAAGGAUGUGAGUGAGGUGUACCUAUACAGGAAGAGGAUGUGAGUGAUGUAUACCUAUACAGGGAGAGGAUGUGAGUGAUGUAUACCUAUAAAGGGAGAGAAUGUGAGUGAGGUAUACCUAUAAAGGGAGAGAAUGUGAGUGAAGUAUACCUAUACAGGUAGAGAAUGUUAGUGAAGUAUACCAACACAGGGAGAGAAUGUGAGUGAGGUAUACCUACACAGGGAGAGGAUGUGAGUGAGGUAUACCUAUACAGGGAGAGGAUGUGAGUGAGGUAUACCUAUACAGGGAGAGGAUGUGAGUGAGGUAUACCUAUACAGGGAGAGGAUGUGAGUGAGGUAUAUCUUUAAAAGGAGAGGGUCUAUACAGUAGACUCUUUUUUUAUGAUGGUCUAUAGAAUCUAUGUUUCCAAACAUAAUUCCCAAUACAGUCAUUUUAAAUGGUACUUGCAUGCUAUUAUAAAGCUUUAUUCUAUCCUAAUCAAGGCUUUGUGGCUGAUUUGGGAGGGGGAGAAGGGUAGAGAAAACUAUACAUAAAAAUACUGUACGGACAACACAAGAAAAACGUUUUGCAACACAAAAAGUUCUUAACCUAAAAACAUCUGAAGACAAAAACAUCUUAGGCCUAGAAAAUCUAUUGGACACUGAACAGGCCUAAUCUGUAUAUGCCAAUGCUACAAAA